rnacentral:rRNA from 1 species
CCUACGGGAGGCAGCAGUGAGGAAUAUUGGUCAAUGGGCGUAAGCCUGAACCAGCCAAGUCGCGUGAGGGAUGAAGGUUCUAUGGAUCGUAAACCUCUUUUAUAAGGGAAUAAAGUGUGGGACGUGUCCUGUUUUGUAUGUACCUUAUGAAUAAGGAUCGGCUAACUCCGUGCCAGCAGCCGCGGUAAUACGGAGGAUCCGAGCGUUAUCCGGAUUUAUUGGGUUUAAAGGGUGUGUAGGCGGCCUUUUAAGUCAGCGGUGAAAGUCUGUGGCUCAACCAUAGAAUUGCCGUUGAAACUGGGAGGCUUGAGUACAGUUGAGGUAGGCGGAAUUCGUGGUGUAGCGGUGAAAUGCUUAGAUAUCACGAAGAACUCCGAUUGCGAAGGCAGCCUACUAAACUGCCACUGACAUUGAUGCUCGAAAGUGUGGGUAUCAAACAGGAUUAGAUACCCUUGUAGUC